AAUAGACACAGAUACACUUUUGCUGUUCAGAGACUCAACCCUCUUCAACAUGAACAAAGCUCUGGUCUGUGCUGUCUUCAUCUUGCUGGUGCUUUCUGUGUUCACAGAGGCCAUGGAGGGGAAUCCUAUAAACACAAAUGGCAAUGUGAAUGCAACCAGCGCCACAGGCAAGUUGGGGCUGAUGGUUGCACCUGCCUUACUUCAAACUCUGCUGUAGCACUUGCUAUGCUCUCCUUCCACAAGACUCUGCAGAACUUCUGCAAGAACGGGGGCAACAACAUAGCAAUAGCUUCAAUGACUAGGCCUACUAUAUUUACCGGUACUGUAGACCCUAGCUGACCCGUUUCCAUGAUUGAACACCGUGAAAUUCUUAACCCAAAUGAUCUUGUAAUAACCAUACAGAUACAGAAAUAAAUUUGUGUAUCUACACUCUUCUUGAUAUU
ensembl:lncRNA